rnacentral:miRNA from 1 species
CGGAGCUCGGACGGCGUCCCGA